rnacentral:rRNA from 1 species
AUGAUUUCACUUUGUUUUGGCCAUGUUUCUUUGCAUUCCUCUGCUCUUCCAAUUCCUGUAAACCAAACACCCAAGUUGACAGAAAUCCUGUGUUUACAAAUGCUCUGUUUACCAUGUGCAUUCCUAUCCUACUCCGGUGUUUUUCCUAUCCCUGUGUUUCAAGAAUCAUGCAAGCCAAAUAAGCCCUUACAGAAUUACUUCAGUUACGAGUACGUGUCGAAGGGAACUUUGUGUGGUUUGUCCUGCUCCUGCCGCGAUGUCGUCACCUCACCUGAGCUGCUCCAUGGACAGAAGCAUCCACCAAACCAGACAUCACGACUCCAGACCGUCUUUCGCCGCCUCAGAUCUCCUUCCCUGUCGUCGGCACCCACCACAACGGCAUCACCAUCAUCGACUCAGCAGAUGAACCUAAGGAGUACACGGGUCCACAAGAGAGGUCGCACUCUUUUGUUUCUACUUAUGUUAUACAUUGCUUAA